GAAACGUGUAAAAAUAAAGGUAAUUUAGAGCGUAAUGUUAACUGAAAUGACGACAAGAAGAGCGGAGUAAACUACAUCCAUGGUGUGACUUGGUCGCGAACUGGCGUCGGUCUAGCUUACUAAGUUGAAAACGCAAUUGUUGAUCACAGAUUUCGACAGAAAUUCAAAGGAUCUGAGAGAAUUGAUGGUGGAUAUGAUGGGUUAAGUUAACGUUAAGCUUUUAGUCAGGUUUUUGGAAAGAAACAACGGUAUGUUCAUCGUUAGGACUCGCGGUUGUAGCCAUGCAGGAGACGAUUCAAGACAGUAGGACAUAUUUAGACCAAGUGCAGGAUUUUGAUGAAGACUCGCACCGGUAUCCUGACAUGAACAUGUAAAUUUUUCGAGCCUCGAAACCAGCCUCGCUUAUAAUCAUGCCGAGUCAUAGCCGUGAUGGAAGUUGCCAGGAAACAACAGGUUAACUUAUCAUCAUGAAGUAAAUACAUGUAGGCUUAUAAUUCUGCCUACAUGUUUUCGCUUCCAAUAUCAUAGAACUUUAUUUUAUAAAUUCGCCAUGCAGAAGUUGCAGACGGUAUUUAAAACUGUAUAAAAUGAAACAACAGAACGAUAUAUGUUUAAUGUUUCUCUUUUAUAAAUUGAUGAAAUUCUUGUUUGUUUACAAAAUAAACUGUAUAAAUAUC